rnacentral:rRNA from 1 species
GAUGAACGCUGGCGGCGUGCCUAAUACAUGCAAGUCGAGCGAACAGACGAGGAGCUUGCUCCUCUGACGUUAGCGGCGGACGGGUGAGUAACACGUGGAUAACCUACCUAUAAGACUGGGAUAACUUCGGGAAACCGGAGCUAAUACCGGAUAAUAUAUUGAACCGCAUGGUUCAAUAGUGAAAGACGGUUUUGCUGUCACUUAUAGAUGGAUCCGCGCCGCAUUAGCUAGUUGGUAAGGUAACGGCUUACCAAGGCAACGAUGCGUAGCCGACCUGAGAGGGUGAUCGGCCACACUGGAACUGAGACACGGUCCAGACUACUACGGGAGGCAGCAGUAGGGAAUCUUCCGCAAUGGGCGAAAGCAUGACGGAGCAACGCCGCGUGAGUGAUGAAGGUCUUCGGAUCGUAAAACUCUGUUAUUAGGGAAGAACAAAUGUGUAAGUAACUAUGCACGUCUUGACGGUACCUAAUCAGAAAGCCACGGCUAACUACGUG